CCUACGGGAGGCAGCAGUGGGGCAUAUUGGGCAAUGGGCGCAAGCCUGACCCAGCAACGCCGCGUGAAGGAAGAAGGCUUUCGGGUUGUAAACUUCUUUCCUGAGGUACGAAGAAAGUGACGGUACCUCAGGAAUAAGCCACGGCUAACUACGUGCCAGCAGCCGCGGUAAUACGUAGGUGGUAAGCGUUAUCCGGAUUUAUUGGGCGUAAAGGGCGUGUAGGCGGGAAAGCAAGUCAGAUGUGAAAAAUCAGGGCUCAACCCUGGGCCUGCAUUGGAAACUGUUUGUCUUGAGUGCUGGAGAGGCAAGCGGAAUUCCGUGUGUAGCGGGGAAAUGCGUAGAUAUACGGAGGAACACCAGUGGCGAAGGCGGAUUGCUGGACAGUAACUGACGCUGAGGCGCGAAGGCGUGGGGAGCAAACAGGAUUAGAUACCCCUGUAGUC
rnacentral:rRNA from 1 species